rnacentral:ncRNA from 2 species
CCGCAUUCCCCGGGGAGCCUGCUUGGGCUGAGAGGGAUGGGUAGCGCCAUCCGACCCGUCGAACCUGAACCGGCUCAUACCGGCGGAGGGAGAGGACCGGGCACCGACA